AAAAGAGUACUAUAGUAAUUAGACUGGACAGCCGAACUUCCGGACGUCAUUGUGGACGUCCUUCCGGAUAAAGCGCUGCUGCGGGGGCCGAGGCAGAGGCAGUUAGGGGUGAUCAGGCAGGUAAUCAGAGUGGUUAGGGGUGAUCAGACAGGCAGGCAGGCAAGUGGUUAGGAGGCAGCAGUCCCGGAUUUUGAGAGGGAUGUCCAACUGCCAGUUUAGGCAGGAUCAGGCCUAAACCAGCAGUCUGACAUCCCCCGAGGGGUCCUGGAUUGCAAAAGGGUACAGGCCGGGCUGAGGGAUGCCCCUCCCCCUGCAUGAAUUUCGUGCACCAGGCCUCUAGUGUGUGUGUGUGUGUAUUUGCCUAUUGAUAGAUAAAUUGAUUUGUCUAUUCAUGUAUAUGGGAAACUGUUCUGAGCACUUCUUAUAUAUUAUCUCAUUUAAUCUCCACCACAGCCCUAAAAAAUACGCACUUUUAUUUUCCCUACUUCAUCGAUAAGGAACCGAGAGGAUCAGGGACUUUAGGAAGUUUACUAAAACUUCCCUAUUAAAAAAAGAAAUAGAUUUUGAACCCAAGUGCUGGCUGGCCUCUCUUUAUAGAAUAAACAUGUUUUUGUCAGACAGAUCUGAAUUUGAAUCCUGGCUCUACUCUAAUAAAAAGGCGACCUUAGACGAGUUAUCUGAGCUCGCUGAGCCUCCUUUCUACGUGGGGCGGCUGGCAGACUGUAAGUGAAGUUCCUCAUUCCAUUUUAAUUCCCUCUGCCACUUCUUUGUGGCUAUAUCUGUGCCAACAUUACACAACCUGACAGUGACAGGGUAUGAUGGCAGAUUUCAACUGAAAAUUUUUGGAGUUUGGUUGUGUAGCAAGUAAGCUUAUUCAACACAUCCUUUCCUGGCCACGUUGGCAACUUUGCUUUCUCAAUUCGCUGAGAGACCAUUUAACUGUGGUCUCUGACCCAGUGGGAAAUAUCCUGGUCACAUGAACUUGACGAGAGCUUGGUAAUUUGGUGUGCUAUCUAUCAGUAAAGAGAGAGGAAGCUGGACCUCAGACUUUAGGAAUACAUAUUUCAGAAAAUGUGCAUCUGAAAAUCUUGACCAGUGCUAGCACAUCUAGAGAAGAUGACUAAGGGAUCAGGAAGGAACCAUGUCAGAAAGGAGUAGUAGGAGCUUCAGAGCCCUUCUGGUGAGAGGAAAAGAGAUUUAUUUUCUUCUGGCCGUGAUAUUUCUUGUGCUUCAGUGUUUGAGUGAAUUCUGUAUCAUAUUCUACUUCCCGUGGAAAUUGAUAGUAUUCUCUCCAUGAUUUCUUGCCUUUUCUGGUGGCUAUUGCUAAGGUCAGACUACAGUUAUAUUAAAUGUACUUUUUGAGAAACAUUAAUCAAGAGAAUCUGAGAGGCAUGAAACUUUCGCUGUGAGUAGAAGAAUCAUGGCUCACAGCCACUAGUUUUGAUCUCAAAACAUUGAUCUUACUGGAAUUCCUUGUUCUUAGUAGACGCAUAUAAAUGUGUUCUGCUCCCAAAUCUACAGGGACUUUUUAAAAUUGGAGGUACGGUAUUUUCCAGUGCUUUGAACUGUUAGAAAAGAUAGGCUUUAUCCUGGCUAAGUCUAAAGGCACUCAUGGUUACAAUAGACUGUGGAAAGGUAGGAGUGAGUUGGUCCCCAUGCAUGGUGACUUAGCUUUGUGUAGGGGACUGCAAUACACAGAAACUUGCAUGGUUGCUGUUCUUGGAAAGUUGAUUAGGUAUAAAAAUAUAAGUAUCCUUGUUAUUAAUUGUGUUAGAAAAAAAAAAGCAUCCUUCGAGCCUUCCCAUUUGUAGAUUCCAAAGCUUUGUUUUGGAAUACGGUGGCCCCAGCAGAAGAAACUAAGAAAGUGGAGGCUUCCACCAAGUGCCUAUAGGAUGCCUCUCACUGAGCAUGUAAAUGAUACAGUCCUCAGCCUUAAGGAAAUCGACCAAUCAAUCAAUAGCUAGCUGAGAUCCACUGAGAACAGUGCUGCUAUAUAGACAUAAGCAAAGUGCCGUGAGGGCACAGAGGAGGUACCACUAAUUGACUAGUAAUGAUCAGAGAAGAACCGUUGUAUUAAGAAAUGAUAUAAUGUAAGGUCAAUAUAAGGCAUUUAGCUCAGUCUCUGACAUAUAGUAAAUAAAGAAACUACUUGAUAGGGCCUGUUUGGCCUCUCACAUCCAAUCUCGUGCUACACUGCCCCAUUGUUCGUUUCUGUUCAGCCACCAUGGCCUCUUCUCUUCCUCAAAAGAACCAAGUCGUUCCUAACUUCAGGGCCUUUGCUCUUGCUUUUUCCUCUUCCUGGAAUAUCUCCUCCCCUCUUCCUGCACCGCCCUCUUCCCCUCACCCUCCCUCACCCCCACCGGCAUUAACUAGUAUCUUCAAGGAGCAUAGCAGGUAGUAAAGGGCAUGGACUCUGGAUUCAAAUUCACUUACUGGCUCUGUGAUCUUGGGCAGGUUACUUCUCUGCAUUCCAGUUUUUUCAAAUGUAAAACAGGGUAAUAAUAUGUUUUUUAUGAAGUGGUUGUGAGGAUCCAGUUGAAAGUAUAUAUAAAGCAUUUGGGCUAGGGCUUGGCUUAUGGUAGAGCUUUGAUGAAGUGAUUGCUGUUAUAAUAAAAUGUCGUUACCUCAGCGAGACCUUUCUUGACCAGUUUACCUAGAGUUUUCCCCAAACCACUGUAGUUACCUAUGUGAUUACUGGCAUAUGUGGAUAUAUUUCUGCAUCUUAUGUCAUGCCUUCUGUUCCCCUCCCUUCCGUUGGUUUCAUCUGGUCUCCUUCAUUUUUCCUUUUCUUCCUCCCACGACUUGGAAUUUAUUUACACAUCUUAUUUCUAUUAUUUUUAAUGAUUUUUCCUUGAAAUCUUUAAUAUAAAUUCCUUACUUGAAGUCUAAAGUAAAAUAUCUCUCCCCUCCUUCAAAUUCAAGAUCUUUAGGCAUCUGUGCUUUAAUUCUGCUCACUCCCCUCACUUUCAUCUUCAUUGUUGUCUAGUCUUUUGAUUCCACCUUAUUUUUCCACUCUUCAGAUUAGUUGCCAUCAAUGCUUUACACUGUCAGUGCUGCAGAUACCCACAUUUACCAGUUUCUUUUGCUUAUAAGAUAUACAUGUGGUUAGAAGGAUAAAUGACCAUAGUAGUGACAGGUAGGAGUACAAACCAGUUGGAGAAAAAGGAGACCUAUGUAAAACUUUAGACAAAAAAAAAAAAAAGAGUACAAACCGGGAAUGAAGUAUAUCUUAGCAAAACAUCUAUAAUAAAUGCCACUAAUGAAGACUGAACCAUCAUAAAACAUACCUGGUUGUCACUUGGUCGUUGAGUGCUGUCUUCCCUCUGAUCAUAGUACAUUAAUUCAGCAGAUGGUUAUGCUGCACUGUGCUUACAGCCUUGAUGGGUGUACUGGUGAUGCAUCAGGGUAAAAGAAGGUCCCUGCCUUUGAAGAAGCCUGUACCUUAUUUACUUAUUUGUUAAAAA